rnacentral:rRNA from 1 species
CCCUUAGACGUUCUGGGCCGCACGCGCGCUACACUGACACAGGCAACGAGCUUUCCUUUACCGAAAGGUAUGGGUAAUCUUUUGAAACUGUGUCGUGCUGGGGAUAGAUCCUUGCAAUUUUUGAUCUUAAACGAGGAAUUCCUAGUAAGCGCGAGUCAUCAACUCGCGUUGAUUACGUCCCUGCCCUUUGUACACACCGCCCGUCGCUACUACCGAUUGAAUGGCUUAGUGAGGCCUCAGGAUCCGCGCUUAAUGUGUGGAGAAUUUGGGCAAACUACGUCAUUUAGAGGAAGUAAAAGUCGUAACA